AGGGAUGUAGCUCAGUGGUAGAGCAUUUGCCUAGCAUGCACAAAGCCCCGAGUUCAAUUUCCAGUACUCUUC
rnacentral:tRNA from 1 species